CCUACGGGGUGCAGCAGUGGGGAAUAUUGGGCAAUGGGCGCAAGCCUGACCCAGCAACGCCGCGUGAAGGAAGAAGGCUUUCGGGUUGUAAACUUCUUUUCUCAGGGACGAAGCAAGUGACGGUACCUGAGGAAUAAGCCACGGCUAACUACGUGCCAGCAGCCGCGGUAAUACGUAGGUGGCAAGCGUUAUCCGGAUUUACUGGGUGUAAAGGGCGUGUAGGCGGGGACGCAAGUCAGAUGUGAAAACCAUGGGCUCAACCCCGGCGAGCCGUUGAAACUGGCUGUCUUGAGAUGUCGAGAGGUAUGCGGAAUGCGCAGUGGAGCGGUGAAAUGCUUAGAUAUUGCGCAGAACUCCGAUUGCGAAGGCAGCAUACCGGCGGCGAACUGACGCUGAGGCACGAAAGCGUGGGUAUCGAACAGGAUUAGAUACCCGAGUAGUC
rnacentral:rRNA from 1 species